GGGCGGAUGGCGAAGUGGAAACGCUGCGGUCUGCAAAACCGCCAUUCACCGGUUCGAAUCCGGUUCCGCCCUCCA
rnacentral:tRNA from 1 species